rnacentral:rRNA from 1 species
ACUCCUACGGGAGGCAGCAGUGAGGAAUAUUGGUCAAUGGAGGGAACUCUGAACCAGCCAUCCCGCGUGUAGGAAGACGGCCUUAUGGGUUGUAAACUACUUUUAUACAGGAAGAAACGUACCCUCGUGAGGGUGCCUGACGGUACUGUAGGAAUAAGCACCGGCUAACUCCGUGCCAGCAGCCGCGGUAAUACGGAGGGUGCGAGCGUUAUCCGGAUUUAUUGGGUUUAAAGGGUCCGUAGGCGGAUUAAUAAGUCAGUGGUGAAAUCCCAUCGCUUAACGAUGGAACUGCCAUUGAUACUGUUAGUCUUGAAUGAGGGUGCAGUGGUUGGAAUGUGUAGUGUAGCGGUGAAAUGCAUAGAUAUUACACAGAACACCGAUUGCGAAGGCAGAUCACUAACCCUAAAUUGACGCUGAGGGACGAAAGCGUGGGGAGCGAACAGGAUUAGAUACCCUGGUAGCCCGAUGU